GGUGGGGCUGGUGCCGGGACGGGGGUCGCCCACCCUCCUGCCAGUGCAGUGAUCGAGUCUGUGUAGAAGCUUAACGUUUUCAGCCCAGAGACGCGCUUCUUCAGUCUCGCAGUCAGUAUGGCGUGCCAGGCUCUGUGCCAGGGGAGAUGGGGUAGGAGGGAGGCCAAGGGGAUGGACCAGGCAGACCCCUCAUGAGGGAAGGGACAAGGAAAGGAGAAAUAACAGCAAACAGAAAUGUGGGAGAUGCCUUGCCAGAGAGGGAGGAGGAGGCCUGCGGGUGAGAGGGGUUGGCUGUCCAGGCAGAGGACUCACAGCAUGUGCAAAGGCCCUGUGGUGAGUGAGCUUGGUGCAUUCGGGGAGCUGGAAGAAGCUCAGAGAAGAGUUCAGCAGGAUUUGACUACAGAGUCCAGGAGGCUAUAUGCAUCAACCAGAAGUGAGAUGUAGUGAACCUAUUAUUACAACCGAUGAUAAAUGCUAUGGGAUACUCUUACCGGCGGCGAUGACAGUUAUAAGUGGGCGGAGCAGAUUCCCUUGGUCUUUCAGAGGCCUUCUCUGCACAUACAGCUUAGUGCUCUCGUAUGUAAUUCCCCAGGCACCUGCCAAGCUCUUGGCAUCAUUUGCUGCAGCUCUUUAUUCAAAUGUCACCUCCUUUUAGGGGACUUCUUGUAACCACUCAUUUGAAAAUUGCAAAACCUCCCAUCCCUUUUCCUCUUCCAACUUUAUUUUUCCAUUUUCUUGUUCACCCUCUAAACUAAUGUAUGUUUUACCUACUUAUCUUGUCCACUGUCUGUGCCCUCCACUACAUUGUCUGUUUUCUGUUUUCUUUUUUUGUUUUUUGCUGGGAAAGAUUGGCCCUGAGCUAACAUCUGUUGUCAGUCUUCCUCCAUUUUGUAUGUGGGACACCAUCACAGCAUGGCCUGAUGAGCAGUGUGUAGGUCUGCACCCAGGAUCUGAACCUGCGAACUCUGGGCCACCAAAGCAGAGUGCACGAACUUAACCACUGGCCACCGGGUCGGCCCUUAUGUUGUCUGUUUUCUACCCAGCUAUGUCCCAGUGCCUCCAACAGUGUCUCGUACCCAGCAGGCUCUCAAAAGAUAUUUGUUUAAUGAAGGAGUGAAUCUUUAGUACUACUAUUUUCUUUCCUUUUUAUAAGACAAAUAGUGUAUCUACUGCGCUGAAAUUCUAUACCUUUAACUUAGCAACAGAUGGUUGACGACCUUUUAAGCUGCUGUGUGAUCUUCCGUCCUAGAGAUGGGCCGUAACCUGCCCCCGGUCUCACGGCUGUUUGCGUUGUUUCCGAUUUGGGGAGACUGCCAACAGUGAUGCAUUGAGCGCUCUAGGCCCACAUAUUGUGAGUUCGUGAUCUGUGACCUUGCUUUAAAAAGACUCAUAGGGGCCGGCCGGUGGCUCAGCGGUUAAGAUCGCGCACUCUGCUUUGGCACCACGGGAUUCGCCAGUUCGGAUCCUGGGUGCAGACGUAGUACUGCUUGUCAAGCCAUGCUGUGGCAGCGUCCCACAUACAGGAACUAGAAGGAGGUACACCUAGGAUAUGCAACUAUGUACGGGGCUUUGGGGAGAGAAAAAAAAGAGGGGAAGAUUGACAACAGAGGUUAGCUCAGGGCCAAUCUUCUUCACCAAAAAAAAAAAAAGGACUCAUAAUGUCACAGUUAAGACCGUGGACUCUGAAGCCAGAAGGCCUGGGUUGGAAUCCUGGCGCUGUCACUUACCAACCGUGUGACCUUGGGCAACAUAAGAAACUUCGGGUUUCAGCUCUUCAUCCGUAAAAUACGUCUCGUAACACCUCCCUAGUAGGGAAAAUGAACAGAGAAGGUGGUACAAAGUUGGAAGCGCUCUGGAAGAAAGAGAGAGAAUACGGGAGCCCGAGGCUGCCCGGACGGCUCCCACCAUGCUGGACAGGCCGGUGGAGGCGAGGGACCCGGGGCUACACGGCAACCGCCUCACGGGAGAGCCAGCUCGGAGGGUGGCAGCUCAGUCCGGACGCUGUGCCCGCGUCCGCUGCCCGCGCGGGACAGGAGCGGCUCGGCCACCGCCUCGCCCCGCCACGCUUCACCACUGUCUCAUUUUCGCGCAUCUGACACCCAAAGGGCGGUGUCUCAAUCUGGUUGGAGUUGCCUCUCCCUGAUGUAAAAGUGAGACUGAGCGCUUCUCUGCGUGUCUGUUGGGGACCAGGAGAGAAGUUCGAGAGUGAGCUGGACCCUGAGGCCCCGCCUUGGGGCAGCGUGUCCACCACGACUUGCUGAGCAACAAGGCAGCAUCGUGGCGAUCCCCGCUUCGCAGACGAGGACACGGACGCCCAGCGGGAAGAAUCCGAAGGUCAGCCGAGCUCGCACGCACUGUCCGUCUGCCUGGAGCGAGGCCACCAGCACAAGCCCCGGAGUCCUGAUCUUGCCCCUCCCUGUCGCCCAAUGACUCAGCGGCCGAUGUGGAAUUUGAACCCAGGGCCUCCUGACCCUGCAGAGACAGUGGGAAGAGCAGGUGAGAUUGUGGACUGGGAGGCCAGGCUGCCUGGGUUCAAAUCCCAGCUCUGCCGCCAGAGCUGUGGGACCCUGGGGAAGUUCCUUAACUUCUCUGAACCUUAGUGUCCUUGUCUGUAAAAUGUUGGUAAGGAUAGUGCCCACUCCAGUGGGCUGUUGGGGGAGGCGGGGAGGCUGAAUAAUGGCUCCCAAAGAUGUCCUUGCCCUGGUCCCUGGAAACUGCGAAUGUCAAUUUAUACGGCAAAAGGGACUUUGCCGAUGUGGGUAAGAAUCUUGCGAUGGGGAGGUGCUCCUGGACUGUCCAGGGGGCCCCGUGCAAUCGUCUUGAUAAGAGGGAAGCAGAGGGAGCCUUGACGCAGAAGAAGGCUGUGUGACACAGGAGCAAGAUGCUACACUGCUGGCCCUGAGGAUGGAGGAAGGGCCCACCAGCCGAGGAAUGCAAAGACCACAGCUGGAAAAGCAGCUGGAAAAGAGUGGCUCAAAUUCAAGGGCCCGACAAUAUCAAGUGCUGACAAGGACGUGGAGCAGCCGGGACUGUCAUGCACUGCUGGGGGGAUGUCAGAUGCUCCGACUGCCGUGCGGCGAGUCCUACGUACCUGCCCCACGAGCCAGCAAGUCCACACGGACGGCUUUACCCAACGGUAAAAUUCGUGUAUUGAAGUCCUAACGCCCAGGACCUCAGAACGUGACCUUGUUUAGACAUAGGCCCUUUACAGAGGCAAUUAAGGUUAAGUGAGGUCAUUAGGGUCAGGGCCCUAACCCGAUGUGACUGCUGUCCUUAUGAGAAGAGGAGAUUAGCACACGGACAUGCACAGCGGGAAGACCAUGCGAGGACAAACGGAGAAGGCAGCCACCUACAAGCCAGGAGAGGGGCCUCAGAAGAAGCCAGCCCCACCGACACCUUGAUCCUGGACUUGCAGCCUCCAGAAGUGUGAGGAAAUGGAUUUCUGUUGUUUAAGCUCGUGGGGGUGGAGCGCUAUAGAAAUCCCAUGGAAGGGACACUAUACAAAACCGCAAAUGGACAGUCUGCCCCGUGCGCUGCAACGCGGAUGCGUCUCACACGCGACGCAGAAUGACAAAAGCCAGACGGACGCCAAGGAGCGCAGACUGCGUGGUUCCAUCUAUACGGAGUUCUAGGACAGGCGAAACCCACAUCUACUGUUCGAACUCAGGAUGGGGAUCAUCCAGGGGGCUAUGACUGGAAGGGGGCGUGAGGGAAGGGCUUGCAAUCUUCUGUUUCUUCCCCCCGGGGGCUGAUUACAUGGAACUUUACACUUGGGAUUUGUGGGGUUUACAAAAACAUCUCAGUUAUGGCUCAGUUUGAAGGAUUUCAUGAGGCUGGCUGGGUAGCACAGUGGUUAAGUUCCUGCACUCUGCUUGGGCAGCCCAGGGUUCGCAGGUUCAGAUCCUGGACACGGACUCACUCACCGCUCAUCAGGCCGUGCUGUCGCCGGGUCCCACAUA